AUCGAACACGCGACCUUCAGAUCCACGCUCACCGCACUAUUAGAGUCCUCUUGCCGAAUAUAUUUUAUUGUAUCCAUUACAGUUUUGGCCGUUGCUACGACAUAAAAUUUCAACUGUUUCAACAUUGUUAUAGUGAUGUGGCAAUCUAUAUCUUAUGUGAUUAGAUCAUUGUUGACUUUUAAUGCUCACGAAUCCAAUCUAUCGUUGCUAUGCUAAUCUUAUUCUUGUUAGUGUUUUCUUCCUUAU